rnacentral:rRNA from 1 species
AAAUUGAAGAGUUUGAUCAUGGCUCAGAUUGAACGCUGGCGGCAGGCCUAACACAUGCAAGUCGAGCGGAAACGGCAGCAUUGAAGCUUCGGUGGAUUUGCUGGACGUCGAGCGGCGGACGGGUGAGUAACGGCUGGGAACCUGCCCUGACGCGGGGGAUAACCGUUGGAAACGACGGCUAAUACCGCAUAAUGUCUUAGUUCAUUACGAGCUGGGACCAAAGGUGGCCUCUACAUGUAAGCUAUCGCGUUGGGAUGGGCCCAGUUAGGAUUAGCUAGUUGGUAAGGUAAUGGCUUACCAAGGCAACGAUCCUUAGCUGGUUUGAGAGGAUGAUCAGCCACACUGGGACUGAGACACGGCCCAGACUCCUACGGGAGGCAGCAGUGGGGAAUAUUGCACAAUGGGGGAGACCCUGAUGCAGCCAUGCCGCGUGUGUGAAGAAGGCCUUCGGGUUGUAAAGCACUUUCAGCAGUGAGGAAGGUGGUGUACUUAAUACGUGCACGGCUUGACGUUAGCUGCAGAAGAAGCACCGGCUAACUCCGUGCCAGCAGCCGCGGUAAUACGGAGGGUGCGAGCGUUAAUCGGAAUUACUGGGCGUAAAGCGCAUGCAGGCGGUUUGUUAAGUCAGAUGUGAAAGCCCGGGGCUCAACCUCGGAACCGCAUUUGAAACUGGCAGGCUAGAGUCUUGUAGAGGGGGGUAGAAUUUCAGGUGUAGCGGUGAAAUGCGUAGAGAUCUGAAGGAAUACCAGUGGCGAAGGCGGCCCCCUGGACAAAGACUGACGCUCAGAUGCGAAAGCGUGGGUAGCAAACAGGAUUAGAUACCCUGGUAGUCCACGCCGUAAACGCUGUCUACUUGGAGGUUGAGGUUUAGACUUUGGCUUUCGGCGCUAACGCAUUAAGUAGACCGCCUGGGGAGUACGGCCGCAAGGUUAAAACUCAAAUGAAUUGACGGGGGCCCGCACAAGCGGUGGAGCAUGUGGUUUAAUUCGAUGCAACGCGAAGAACCUUACCUACUCUUGACAUCCAGCGAAGCCUUUAGAGAUAGAGGCGUGCCUUCGGGAGCGCUGAGACAGGUGCUGCAUGGCUGUCGUCAGCUCGUGUUGUGAAAUGUUGGGUUAAGUCCCGCAACGAGCGCAACCCUUAUCCUUGUUUGCCAGCACAUAAUGGUGGGAACUCCAGGGAGACUGCCGGUGAUAAACCGGAGGAAGGUGGGGACGACGUCAAGUCAUCAUGGCCCUUACGAGUAGGGCUACACACGUGCUACAAUGGCAGAUACAGAGGGCAGCGAAGCUGCGAAGUGGAGCGAAUCCCUUAAAGUCUGUCGUAGUCCGGAUUGGAGUCUGCAACUCGACUCCAUGAAGUCGGAAUCGCUAGUAAUCGUGGAUCAGAAUGCCACGGUGAAUACGUUCCCGGGCCUUGUACACACCGCCCGUCACACCAUGGGAGUGGGCUGCACCAGAAGUAGAUAGCUUAACCUUCGGGAGGGCGUUUACCACGGUGUGGUUCAUGACUGGGGUGAAGUCGUAACAAGGUAGCCCUAGGGGAACCUGGGGCUGGAUCACCUCCUUA